rnacentral:rRNA from 1 species
UACGAAGGGGGCUAGCGUUGUUCGGAAUUACUGGGCGUAAAGCGCGCGCAGGCGGUCGUUCAAGUCGCGUGUGAAAGCCCCCGGCUCAACUGGGGAGGGUCACGCGAUACUGAUCGACUCGAAGGCAGGAGAGGGUAGUGGAAUUCCCGGUGUAGUGGUGAAAUGCGUAGAUAUCGGGAGGAACACCAGUGGCGAAGGCGACUACCUGGCCUGUUCUUGACGCUGAGGCGCGAAAGCUAGGGGAGCAAACGGG